GGGUAGUCUCUCACUGGCCUGCUAGGGAGAAGUACUGGUUGCCUAGGAGCCCAAUGGCUUGAGUAGUGCUGGGCCUGGUAGCAGAGCAGAAGGGGCUUCUGGCUGACUGCUGCUAGACUGAGGCCCUGGAGGAAGGGCAGAUAAGGUGCUUGGGCUGCCCCCACUUGCCCUGAGGAAAGUGGCCAACACAGACUGUAGUUUGCCCCUGGAACAAGGGACUAAACUGGUCCACCAAAGUGAGUGGCUGGACUAUAAACUGCCAGUUCCCCUGAAAGUGGGGGGAGACAGCGGAGCGGGGUGCAGCCAGAGGGCUGUACCCAGAAGAGGUUGCCAGGGACCAAUGUGGGUCACAGAGUGGUGGAGACAGCAAAGCGGGAGUAACAGUGAGCGAGACACCACCAGAGGAGGGUGCCCUGUGGCAGGACUUGAGCUAAUUCCAGAAUGGCCAGCAGGAGGCACUACAGUGAGCCUCCCAUGGGACUGUGGCUGUCCCCUAAGAACCCUAGUGAGAUCAUGCUAACAGGCAGCCCAGGAGAAGGGGACACUAGCCUCCAGAGUCCUUGUGGAGGUAUAGGAUCUCCUAGCAGAUGACCUAGUAUUCUGCUGAUACCUGAGGAUCUGCAGGGAUUCAAGUCAGGCCCUUUUCCCUGGUCAAGAAUGGGGAGCCAAACCCUCUCUCUUGGACGAGCUUUUUUCCUGUAGGUUUUUGUCUUCUCUUGACUCAUUAACUUGGAACAAACCCCUUCAAAGAUUCAGGACACGAACAGUAAGCAUUCUGACCAUGAUGAUGUCUACUGAGGAGCAAGAUGUUUGCCAAUGAGUGAGAAUGACUGGGGCUGUGAUGCAUCCAAAUAGUGUGAUAUCAUUCAAGCAUUUCUCUAGAGUAGGGACCAAACUUGCAGGCAGUAUCAUGGUGUGACAUCAGCAUACUGAGUGAUAAUACUUUUCCCUAGGUUUAGAAAUGAUCUUGCCAAGGGGCCUUUAUGGUUUGAACAAACUGGGAGAGCAGAAACAGCCUUGAGGAAUAUUGCAUUUCAUAUACCUAGGUGGUGAUGCUGAUAAUCUUCAAUUGUCCAUCACCACCAGUUGACUCCCUUUCCUAGGUAUAAUUAGAGUAUUUCUAGACACAAUUAAUAUUAAUAUCCCUUUUUAGUUGAAACAAAAUCCUAUUGUCAGUUGUAUCAACAGCUCCUGAGAAGUCUAUGAUGAUCACACCAAAGGCCUAUCUACUUUAUUCUAAAACCAAAAAAUUAUUCAUGAUCCUGACCAAUGCAGUCCCAAUUCCAAAGAAGGCUGAACUCCAGGUUAAUAUCAAAUAAUACAAUAAGCUUCACUGAAUGUGUGUAAAAACUAUCUAUCUUAAGGUUUUAUACUGCCACCCAUCAACUUCUGAGCUGAGCUCCUUCCGUGUACAAAUCAAUAGCAAAAUCCCUUCAUGGAGUUUCUGGUACAUCUCCUUUUUGGGGGAUAAAACCUCUGUUUUGUGUAAGGUUUAUGCUUUUGGGGUUGUUUUUCUCCUUACAAACUAUAUGACUACUUUUUAGAUUUUACUUUUUUUGUUGAUUGUAGGUUGGUUUUGUUUUAUUUUUUGUUUGUUUCAAAAACCUUAGUAACUCUCUUAUUUUACAGGAUGCUUGAAAUCAAACCUUACUUGUGACAGGAUUGUUACUAGUCAUAUUUCAUUCUGUUCCCUAAGCCUAAAACAACCUGCUUCCUCCAGUGUGAGAUGUAUUUUUGCUUUUCUGGUUGAAGUCCCUUCUCUAAAUUUUCUAAACUCUAAAUUCUCAUUACUUUUGGUGAGCUUUUUGCCACCACGGCUCUCAUAAUUUACCACAUAUUCCCUUAAUUUCACUCACCUUGAAAUAUAAUAUCACAUUGUAAUAGAAAAAUAUUUAAAAUAUAAAUGCAAAAAACACUUCUUCCCCUGCCUCCUUUCUCUGCAUCUUCUGUAAGUUAGAACUGAAUCCUGCACGCACUUACUCAUACAUGGUCCCAACGAAAUGAAUGGUUUAAGCGGGACUUAGAUGGCACAUAAACUUUGUGCUGGCCCUCUGCAUAGUGAGAACUUCAGCCAUGAUGAGUAAGGAGUACUCAGAGUAAGGGUUUGAAGAAUUAGGCCCAUAAAUUACAUGCUGGUUGGGUCAUGGACCUUGUCUUUAUGUCUGUAAAGCAGCAUAUAUAUCUCUGGCUUUGUAUAUGUGAUAGAUAAUGUUGAUGGUUUUACAGAACCAUAUUUAUUCUUAAUAUUCAAUGAAAAAGUAUCUGCCUAUAAAGUCUUGUUCUUCCCUUCCCAUUAUCUGCAUUUCCCAUGCUGCUAUCUUGAAAAUGCUUUUCAGUGGAACAAAUUAAGACACAAGUGUAGCUAUCCAUUAUUUUAUGAGCUAUGGAUUUCAGCCCAGAUAUGUGCUAAGAAUAGAACAGAUGGAAAUGUAACAGAUGAAAUGUCAAUAUAUCCCAGCUCAAGUCUGUUGUCCUGUUUUAGCACUUUUAUUUUAUUUGUAGUUUAAUUAAUAUUCUGAUCCACUAAUUAAAAGGGACAGGUUGAUAGGUGAAAUAAUAAUGACUAGCACAGGGACCUCAUAAAAGUGAGGAUAGAUUCCAUUAACAUCACACUAUCCUGGUGCAAUGAAGUGGCUGUCGGGAAAAAUGACUUUUAAAAUGAAUAUGAAGUGGAAAGUGAUGUUGAAAGGUCACUUUUUUUUUACUGAUAAGUUAUGCCUUUUUGCCAGUUUCCAGUGGAUUAUUUAUAUUACAGUAGCACCUAGAGGUUCUAAGACGGAGGCCCUGUACAAACGCAGAGUAAAAUUCAGUCAUUACCCCCAGAGUUCACUGUCUAAAUAGAUAGGACAACCAAAGUGAGGGAGAAGAGAGAAAGAUAGACUGCCGAUGGGAUUUCCCAAGGCGUCAAGGCAGGUCCAUGUCAGAGGCAGGAAUACAGCAGAGUUCUCCUAAAUCCUAGCCACUAGACCACCCUGCCUCACCUAAGGAGUGUUUUUAAUUGACUGGCUUUAUUUCAAUGGCAUGUACAUGUUACUGUGACUUGUGGUGUUACUCAUGAGCCGAAGUCUUGUUGAAAGUGGGACUUGGGCAAAUUUCAAAGGGCCUCAUGAGACUUUCCCAAGGUCACAUAAGGAGUCUGAUGGUUAAAGAAACUGAUAUAUGAAUUGUAUCAGGUCAGUUGCCAUAGCACAAGUCAGGUAUCACAGUAACAUGCAAAUGCUAUUGAAAUAAAGCCAGUAAAUUAAAAACACUCCUUAGGCUCCUAUGGGCCAAAUUUUCCCAGGCAUUUAUGUGCCUAAAGAUGCAGAUAGGUGCCGACUGGGAUUUAGAAUAGUACAUAAGCAGGUUUAAUGGGAGUUAGGCACCUUAUCUGUUUAGGUGCCUUGGAUCCUGCUAGACAUCUUUAGUUGCAUAAACAGCUUUGAAAAUGUGCCUCUCAGUUCAAUUCCCCAUUUGUAAAAUGGGAGUGUUAACUCUACUUCCCCAGAUCAUAUGUCUGUCUUGUCUAACUAGAUUGUUACAACCCUGAAGAAUUUACAAUCUCUUACUAUGCACCAGAUGACAAUAGAUUUACUCAUGUUGAAUAGUACCUUGACGUUAAAGGGAACUCUCAUAGAGUAAACCUUACACACACUGAGCAGUGUCCAUCACUGUCUGUAUCUGGGUUUGUAUAAUGCUAAGCACAAUGAUGCCCCCAUCUCAGAGGGGAUCUAUACGUGCUACCAUAAAGCAAAGAACGAAUAAUGAUAAGAUUAACUGCUAUGCUCCUUGGAUACAUGAUGAUACACAGGUUUCAAUGGCAUGAUUGUGGCCUGGACACUACUUGCACAAUCAUGUAUUUGGCUGAUAUCACAUCUUAGGAGUAAGUCAUUUUGGAUUUUUUUUUUAAAAAUAAAUCACCGUACCAGUAAAUCCAAGUUUCCUUAAAGGCCAGGUCCUGAAAAUCUGCUGCCUCUUUCAUUCAGUUUCUCCAAAUAAAAACUGGUUAGGCCACAUAUUAUUAACACUUGAGGGUAUCUACAUUACUACAGUCUACUAUUUUUGUUACCAUAGGGAAAGACGCUUUUAAGACUUUGGGCUUGCUACCUUGACGAUUUUCCAAUUCUUUGUUACUAUGCAUGUCCCUUGCAGUCUUUUUGUGCCACUGAAGUACAGUAAGCCAGGAAGAUCAAUCUGGCCACCAAAGAAUUCCUCCAGCAGAGAGGGAAUGUCUAAGUGGCUUAGUGCCUGUGCAGAGAGCAUGGCUGAAUACAAGGAGGCAUGCCUAGGGUGUCUCUGUUCUGCCUGUUCCCAGAAUAACCUCUGGUUUCCAUAGGCCUCAAGAUGUAUGUCAGAACAGUCUUCAGGGAACCUGAGAAUAAGGGAAGCACAAAGGUGGUUCAAAAUCAUCUUUGCCCCUUCCCAGAGCUCCGCCAAGCACAGUUUGACUGGAAUAGAGAAGUGAGUCCAAUGUUUCUAUAAAUCAGUGUCACAAAUUUAAAGUCCAAACUCUCAAACCACCAGGGUAGAUAUAAAUGAUUUUAUACUAUUGGAAGGUGGCUUGGGGAGGCGGCUCUGCUUUAUCCCGCUCUUUCUAAUCAUAGUUAUUUGUGAGAUCAGACCUUAGUCUCAAUUUUUUUUCCAGUGUGACCCCUUAGAGGGUGCAAGUUUGACCUACUAAAAAAGUGACUACUAUUUUUUCCCACCAGUAACCAAUCAAUAGCACAUAUUUUAUUAAUUUGAUGGUUAAAUAUCUGUUUGCAGGCAGAAAUCAGGUACAGUACCAUUCAUGCAAUAGGUUUUACACUGGCAACUAAUUAUGGACACCCCCCAAUCAAGGUAUAGUUUUUGGGAGUGAAGCCUUCACCUGCAAAAAAGGAAGCCAUCUGAAAAUGUAGACUUAAAACUCACUGGUACAGGUCUGCAUCAUCCUUGACCUCAGAUUAAUGCAAUUUUAAAUGCAGCUUAUCAUAAGAUGUCACAGUUUAUUAUACGGGUGACCCAAAAGAGACAUUAUCACAGAAUGGACAGUAUAAAAACUUAGCUCAAGUGUAGUGAAAACUAGAAUCAGAAGACAUUUUAGAACACAUGGGGCAACAAGCUGCCAUGUCUUAUGCUGAUGAUAUUAUACAUGUACAAAGCACAGAAAUCAAAGCAGAGACAGGAAACUUAAACCGGGAGGGGAGGAAAUACCUUUCAAGAUUUGUUUGUUUGCUUUUCAGAUCCAUAUUUUCUUUCUUGUUGACAAGAAAGCUUGAAAGUAAUAAGUGCUGCAUGAAUUAAAUACAUCACAGUUGACUGCCUGGAUGUUAUAUACUGGUAGAGCUUCAAGCCAAUCUGGGUUUUGUCAAUGUGCUGCUAUUGAUUUUUGUCUUGACAGAGAAUAGGUGAAAUGAUGAAGAGGAAAAAAAUCAUACGAACUAUUUUCUUAUGUUGGCUGUAGCAUUUCCCCCAUUUAAAGAAAUGCCAAACCUGUAAACAAGGUUUUGUACUUAUCUAUCAAUAUAGGUUUUUUUUUUUCUGUUUUUG